UACGGAGGGAGCUAGCGUUGUUCGGAUAUACUGGGCGUAAAGCGCACGUAGGCGGCGCAGCAAGUCAGGGGUGAAAUCCUGGAGCUCAACUCCAGAACUGCCUUUGAUACUGAGGAUCUUGAGUAUGGGAGAGGUGAGUGGAACUGCGAGUGUAGAGGUGAAAAUUCGUAGAUAUUCGCAAGAACACCAGUGGCGAAGGCGGACUCACUGGCCCAUUACUGACGCUGAGGCACGAAAGCGUGGGGGAGCAAACAGG
rnacentral:rRNA from 1 species